UCUGAACCGCAUGGUUCAGACAUAAAAGGUGGCUUCGGCUACCACUUACAGAUGGACCCGCGGCGCAUUAGCUAGUUGGUGAGGUAACGGCUCACCAAGGCAACGAUGCGUAGCCGACCUGAGAGGGUGAUCGGCCACACUGGGACUGAGACACGGCCCAGACUCCUACGGGAGGCAGCAGUAGGGAAUCUUCCGCAAUGGACGAAAGUCUGACGGAGCAACGCCGCGUGAGUGAUGAAGGUUUUCGGAUCGUAAAGCUCUGUUGUUAGGGAAGAACAAGUGCCGUUCAAAUAGGGCGGCACCUUGACGGUACCUAACCAGAAAGCCACGGCUAACUACGUGCCAGCAGCCGCGGUAAUACGUAGGUGGCAAGCGUUGUCCGGAAUUAUUGGGCGUAAAGGGCUCGCAGGCGGUUUCUUAAGUCUGAUGUGAAAGCCCCCGGCUCAACCGGGGAGGGUCAUUGGAAACUGGGGAA
rnacentral:rRNA from 1 species